AGCAUCAAGAGGAAAAGUCAGGAACAUCCACCGGGUCCGACUAGAAAGUCGAAGAGGAAAGAUCAAACAGAUCUGCCGGAGAGCGAGUACAAGGUUGGCCACUUCGUUGUAGUGAGCGAAGUGGUCAACGACGGCGAAGACACUGAGCCGUGGUUCGGGAAGGUCGUCGCCGUCAACCCAGCCCGGCAGACCCUGCGUCUGGUAUGGUAUGAACGAGACGCCGA